rnacentral:rRNA from 1 species
CAGUCGCCACGGGAAUACGGAGGGGGCUAGCGUUGUUCGGAAUUACUGGGCGUAAAGCGCACGUAGGCGGCCUGGUAAGUUAGAGGUGAAAGCCUGGAGCUCAACUCCAGAAUUGCCUUUGAGACUGCAUCGCUUGAAUCCAGAAGAGGUGAGUGGAAUUCCGAGUGUAGAGGUGAAAUUCGUAGAUAUUCGGAAGAACACCAGUGGCGAAGGCGGCUCACUGGACUGGUAUUGACGCUGAGGUGCGAAAGCGUGGGGAGCAAACAGGAUUAGAUACCCCGGUAGUCCCUGUCUCUUAUAC